GUGCUGAGGCGAUAGACGGCAGUUGAGCAAUGUCGGCGUUGAGGAGAGGUAAGAGACGAAGAAAACCCGCAAAAGUCUUAAAAUUCAGCUGAUUUUCGCAGAUCGGGCCGAUUUUUACUGGCAUUUAUGCUACCAAGAGAACAGCUCGCGACUAUGGCGGAUUUAGAGCACAGUGUGAGCCCGGAAGCGGAGGGAAUGGACGGGGACGAUGAGCGGACGGAGACCGAGCUAGCGGAGCACGACUCCCCGGACAGCAAGCGGGAGUGUCACCGUAACGACGGCGGCGAUCACCCCCUGGAGGAGCACCUCAACGAUCGGCGGAGAAAACACCACCGGCGGGGACACCGGGGCUCGGGGGCGGAGGGGAGGAGGCGUUUCCGCCGCAAGUGGAAGCCGUUUGUCAAGCUGAGCUGGGAAGAGAGGAAGGACUUGGAAGAGCGCGAACGGAAACGCGCGAUGCGGGUCCGCGAGAUGAUGUUCGCCGAGGGCCGCACCGUUGCACCCUACAACACCACGCAGUUCCUCAUGGAGGACCACGAAACACAGUCCCCCUUCCACUCACCCAACCUGGAAGUCCUGCAGCGACAGCAGAGCAACGAUACCUCCAACUCGGACGACAUGCCGGACUCCCCCGAGGACGACUUCGGCAUGGAGGCCGGUUUCUUCGAGAAGGACUUUUCGGAGACGUACGAACAGUUUCACGCCGAGAGUCUGAACAACAUGAGCAAGACAGACCUCAUCAGAGAAUACCUGGAGAUGGAGAAAUGCGUGGAGAGACUUGAAGCAAAACUUGAGACGGCAAGCAAGGAGGACAACUCGUCUGAAGACAAGACGACGUCUCCCGUGGGGAACGACAGAGAAAGUGAGCUACGCCGAGAAGUCGAGAGACUCCGCCAAGAAAACGCCAAACUUCAGGCCGAGAACUCUCUCCUAAAGCAAGGCCGACAGAACAGCGCACCCGAGGCAUAGUCUCGCCUGGAGAAAGUCUCACUUGGUAUAUAAAUCUGUGAUAAGUCCAUUGUAGACCUAUAAUGUCACUGUGUCUAGUUUUAUGACAUCAUCCGAGCUUAGUAUUAUUUCAUGCCCUAAUUUGCUAUGUGCAUUUUAAGUAGCUGAUGUGUAUAACGCGCAUACAUUUGUACGUCUUUUAAACAAUACUGUAGUGUUAUGCAGAAAAACACCUACCCCGUACCGGUACUCUUUCUUAAAAAAGCAUUGACAGAAAACAAUGGUGCAUUCAGCAAGAAAUUACAAUGUCUUCAUACAUUUUAUGGUGCAAAGUUUAAUGAUUUGUUUUGUGGUUCUUGUGAUUGAGUCUUUAAAGGUUUUUCCUCCGGUAGCAAAAUGUUGGUUGAUGCCACUUCUGUAGAUGUCUUGUAGUUUGUUUAUGUUUUUGUGUGCACCCUGACACGUACACCUUGCCAGGGGUCCUAUUCAUGCAUUAUUUACCAAGUGACGUCAACUUACCCCUGGGGCCCUUACCCCAUAUUAGAUCUCCCAAAGUACAUUGUAUUGUGAAGCCAACCGCUCUGCUACGAUUCCAUACCCCAAUCCUCAAUACAAAAAUCUUUCACUCGAGAAGGGAACCCAGAAAGGCAUCUGAAAAUCGAUGCUUACAUCCACAACUUGAGUGCUUGGGAUGUGUUUAUUUUUAGCCGCUGCUGGUAUCCUAAGCUAACCAAAUUUAAAGGGGGCAGAGUUGGGGCAUACUAUUUCUAACCGGAGAUAGGGGUGACUUGGUUUGCCUUAUUAUGAAAUUGCCCAUGCAAACUGAGACUUUUUUUUAACAAGACUUUUUUGAUCCAUUGAAUUUCAAACAGGAAUCUGUCCGUAUGUCAGCAGCUCUCAGUUUGCAUACAGACAGCUUCUAAAGUAGGCCAUAUGUUUUCCCUUUGGGUCUGUAAUGGUAUCAAGCAGAGCAGUUGGCUGGCCUGUCAGAUAACAUAAGCUUGCGCCUGUUUGGCCUUAUCGCUAAUGGGUGAUACCACUUCUUACAGUUAUAAAUGCCGUUUCUGGGUGAUAUGGACUGGAUCAAUUGAACGCAGCGUUUCGUCAAAUUUCUUCCAAUAUAGCAAGCUUUUUCUGUUUUUAUAACUUUCACAGUUGAAGAGUUUUGUUCCCACGGCCAUUGAAAUGUGCAGUAAAUGAUGUUUUUGUAGCUGAGGCGGCAGUCCGUCCGGAGUUUAGUGACCUUUGUACAGUGAUGGAGGUGCCUCCAUUGUUCAAGGAGCCUGUUGACGUCCCCUUGUUUGGAUGGGGAGGGGCUAAGGUGUUCAAGUUACAGAGUCUACAAGGGUGUUGUUGUGGCCGGACAUGGAGGCACCUUCAACAUAUUGAUUGCUCACAAAGAAAAUGCUCCCCUUCUCCCAUCUUUUUGGGCGAUGAUUUUUUACUCAAACUCAUGGAAUUGAUUGUAGUAUGACUGUGAGGUGGAUUUGACAGCAAUUUUUGGCAGCUACACGAAACUACCCGCCGUGCUUAAGAUUGUGGAGAGUUUGUAUGUCGAUAUUGUCUGUUUUCUGUCCACGUUUCCUUGCUCUGUGGAGUCAUCUCUACGUUCAUCCAUCCCACUGUACAUGCUAAAUGAACUUUGCCAUCACAUUUUCAAAUGUCUGGAGGCUACUUGACUGCUUCAAAAAGCUUGUGUUGCUGCUACUGUCGUUUUAAAACCUUUGCGUGUAGCUUUCCCCCCAUCACACACUUCAUUUUCCAAGUGCAAUUUCAUCAGCCUCUAUGUUGCUUGUGUCCACAGCCCAUGACCUGUGUGCGACCUGUGACCCAGGGGUCACCUGGCCGGGCCAGAGAGGAUCAUGGGAUGGCUCCCUGGUAUCUCAGCCCCUGGCUGAUCAUGAGGUUGUCAAGAUGUGAGCACUGCAAUUCUGAGGUCUUCAACACGGCAGCCUCACUGUCAAAUAGCUCUAUACAUGUUCUAGGUGAUGUAUUUCCCCUGUAGAGAUAGCGCGUGUGUAUAGUCACAACAUGUUCGGUAGGAAUGUUAGAUAGCUACUGAGGUAUGGAAGGUCUGAAAGACUGCUUUUCCCGUUUUGACACACAGUGGACCAAAAUUUUUUUAAAUGAAAUGUUUAUUGCACAAAGAUCAAGAAAGUUGACAACAUUUUAUAGUUGUAAAGAGCCCUUCCAAGCCAUUGUGGCUGUUAUUAGAGUUAUAUAUAUUGCAUGUUUCUAUGACAAGAAGGGGUCAAUAUUUGAAGGAACGGUAGACAACAUAUUUUGUAUAAUAGAGCACACUUUUCUGACCAAAAAAGGGAGUUGUAGAAUAUCUUCUGAAAGAAGCUCUAUUUUUGUAUAAAAAGAAGCCCAGUAAAGACUGGGUGCCAAAAAAAACAAGAACGAGAAAGCUUGAUCUACCUACGUCUGCAACCAAAGUGUUUGACGCAUCUCAGAACAGCUAUACCUUCCGCAAGUAAUGGCCUCUUUUGUUAAGUCAACAACACAUUCAACAUCUUAGGGAAAACCAGCCAGAAUCCAUUGCAUUUGUCAAUGAAAGGAAACAACAAACGUGUGAAACUGUUCGUCUCUUUUCAAAGCUGAAAUCUUGUGCCAAACAUUGAAAAAAUUCAACUUCUUAACUAACUAGGCUACAGCUGUGCAAUAUACAGUGCCAAAAUUGAGCAAUUUGAAUCAGAAACUGAUUCAAAAUGAAAAUAAAAUUGUCAACUCAAAGUAGUUUAAAACUGCAAAUGUUGAAAGUAGAGUUUGUCAAAGUGGCAUUUGAAUUUGUUGGGUUUCUGACUGGUUCCCUCUAGAAUAUGACAUUUUUUCAAUAAAUGAACUUCAAUGCACUGAAGGAGUAACAUAUAAAAUGGGCAUGGAGUACUGCUCUUUCAUAUGGACACAGCCAGCCAAACAGGAUUUGAACAGGAAUGAUGAUUGUUAAUAAACUUUGCAGAAUUAGGGAACACCUGAAAUGAUGUGACUGUUGGAAAAUGCAAUGUUGAUGAGAAUGAACUUGAAUGGAGAAUGUUUUAACAUGGAAUUUGGCUUCAAUUA